GAACGAACGCUGGCGGCAGGCUUAACACAUGCAAGUCGAACGCGUGUAAGCAAUACACGAGUGGCGCACGGGGUGAGUAACGCGUCGGUAUAUUCCUGCCUUUUUGGUUCGGAAUAACCCCCGGGGAAACUGGGGCUAAUACCGGAUGGUUCCUUCGGGACUAAAGAUUUAUCGCCAAAGAUGAGUCCGCGUCCGAUUAGCUAGUUGGUGAGGUAAUGGC
rnacentral:rRNA from 1 species